CUGGCGCCUGAGGAUGAGCCUGCGGCCAUCAGCUAGUUGGUAGGGUAAUGGCCUACCAAGGCGAAGACGGGUAGCUGGUCUGAGAGGAUGAUCAGCCACACUGGAACUGAGACACGGUCCAGACUCCUACGGGAGGCAGCAGUGGGGAAUCUUGCGCAAUGGGCGAAAGCCUGACGCAGCGACGCCGCGUGAGUGAUGAAGGCCUUCGGGUUGUAAAAGCUCUGUGGAGGGGGACGAAUAAGGGCUGGCUAACAUCCAGCUUGAUGACGGUACCUCUUUAGCAAGCACCGGCUAACUCUGUGCCAGCAGCCGCGGUAAGACAGAGGGUGCAAACGUUGUUCGGAAUUACUGGGACGUAAAGCGCGUGUAGGCUGCUUCGAAAGUCGGAUGUGAAAGCCCCUGGGCUCAACCUAGGAAGUGCAUUCGAAACUUCGAAGCUGGAGUCCUGGAGAGGAUAGCGGAAUUCUCGGUGUAGAGGUGAAAUUCGUAGAUAUCGAGAG
rnacentral:rRNA from 1 species